ensembl:lncRNA
GUCCUAUGACAAGAUCACAAUGCAGAGCAUCAGCUGGAGUGGUGUAAAGCUCCCCGCCAUUGGACUCUUUAGCAGUGGAAAAGCAUUCUCUGUUGUGAUGAAUCACACCUCGCCAUCUUACUGUUCGAUAGACAAAUCUGAGCUGGUUGGAUGUCAGGGGAAUGUAACGUUUGGUAGAGGAAGAGUAAUAGUCUGGGGCAGUUUUUUUAUGAUUUGGGCAAAUUAUGGAGAAAAGUCUGAAUACUCAAAUUGAACCUUUAUUGAUCCAGCAAUUACAGGAAAGUGGUUAAGCUAGAUUCAACACUACUUCUUGAAUGAUGUUCAGACCCUGGCUUAAUAGGAGUCACCCAGUGGAGUCACCCCCCUUCCCAGAGGAGGCAACCCCUUUCCCAAAGGAUUCAACCCAGAGGAGUCACCCCACUUCCCAGAGGAGUCAACCCAGAGGAGUCACCCCCCUUCCCAGAGGAGUCAACCCAGGGGAGUCACCCCCCUUCCCAGAGGAGUCACCCCACUUCCCAGAGGAGUCAACCCAAAGGAGGCAACCCCUUUCCAAGAGGAGUCAACCCAGAGGAGUCACCCCCCUUCCCAGAGGAGUCAACCCAGAGGAGUCACCCCCCUUCCCAGAGGAGUCACCCGAGUGGGUCCCUUUCAUGUUUUGCAAGCCAUAAACAAAGGCCUGUGGGCUAUCUUUUUGUCAUAUAUAAAAUUUCCUUUUCUACAGGGCUAGGCCCUUUAGGGCCAGUGAAUUGAAAUCUGACCGCAUACAAUUACAUUCUAGACUAUUCUAUGCUUCCAACUAUGUGGCAACAAUUUGAGGAAGGCCCUUUCCUGUUUUAGCAUGACCAUGCCCCAUGCACAGAGUGAGGUCCAUACAGAAAUGGUUUAUCAUGAUUGGUGUGCAAGAACUUGACUGGCCUGCACAUAGCCCUGACCUAAACCCCAUCGACCACCUUUGGUAUUAAAUUAAUUGGAAUGGCAACUGCGACCCAGGCCAAAUCGCCCCAAAUCAGUGCCCAACCUCACUAAUGUUUGUGUAGCUGAUGGGUAGCAAUUCCCAGCAGCAAUGUUUCAACAUUUGGUGGAAAGCUUGCUAAGAGUGAAGUACUCCUUAUUGAUUCCCAUGCUUUUGGAAGGGGAUGUUCAACAAGCAACUGUCCACAUACUUUUGGCCUUCUAGUGUAUUAAUACUUAAGGCUUUGCCUUUUGUAUGUCCCCAUACUGUACUAUUUCCUUAAGCCUUACCUCAGCUACAUAACAAAUGUAAGACAGGUUGAUAUAUUUAUUUUGUAAAUGGAACAUGACCAUGUGAUGCUCACUAACUCCAAGAUGUUGC